CGGGCCUGGAGCUAGGUGAGGCCUGAGCCUCCAUUUCAGGGGCUUUCUGUAGAAUCUGUUGCUGCUGUUGCCUCCAGCAGAGUCUGUUUCAGGAAGAGGUUUGCCUGCCUGCGCGGGACAGCGGUGCCAUUCAUCACUGCAGGAGGGCAGAAUCCGGGGUUGGGGGCCGCACGUCGAGAGGGGAGGGGCCAGGGGGCGGCCCCCUUGUGACCAGCCCUGAGGAGAGGUCAGGAGAGAAGGCUGGCUGAGGAGCGCCUGGACAGCAGCAGUUGCUGACGUUCUAUAUCACGCGCCUGGGGCCCAAGGAUACAGGGAAAGAACGUCAGAGGAAGCUGCACCAAAGCGAGGCUGCGCAGGGCGCAAAAAAGCAGUCAGAGGGUGGCGCCUUUUUUAAAGAAGUUUCCAUCCUUUCUGUCCUAAAGCUCAGGCCGUUCC
rnacentral:lncRNA from 1 species